UUACCAAGCUUAUGACUGUGAAGUGCUGUGGAUUUCUUUGUGAAUCACCAUAUCUAAGCUAAUGUGGUGGUGGUUUUCAAAGUAAUUCACAUUGCUUCACAGAUGCUUCUAUAGGUGAA
rnacentral:pre_miRNA from 15 species